rnacentral:tRNA from 1 species
CGCAGCGUAGCUUAAUGCAAAGCACCAGGCUCAUAACCUGGGUGAUGUGGGUGCAAAUCCCACCGCUGCCA